AUUUAUAUAAUUUAUAAAGAAUAUUGCAUUGAAGCUGCAAAAGAGAGUGAUCAACUCUGUAAAUA
rnacentral:tRNA from 1 species